AGAAAAGUGGCCGAAUAGGUGUUAGUCUCUUAAAUUAAUUAUGAGAAGGGAAGUUGAAUA
rnacentral:tRNA from 1 species